CGGUACUCCGUUUCCAUGGGAACGGGGUUCUUCUUAAAGGGCGGGAUGGACCUGCUGCUGGAGUGCAACACCUGCGAGAUGGGGUCAAAGACGCUCACCUUUCCUGCCAGUAGAGGGUGCUGUUCUGCAAACUGGAGCUGCUGGAGAACCAGGCAGGAAGUCACCGGACUCGGCCGGACCGGGUCUCUUCAGUGGUUGGAGACCCAGAGAUAAAAACAUCAUAGGAGGUUCUUACGGUUCUGAUCAGGGCGGAAUCCGGCCAGCGGGCGGCAGCGCUGAGGCGACACGCUUCUGGAGCGAGGGACACCGUAGCUCUUCUGGUGAAAGGAAGCAGGAAGAGGGAAACCUGUGACCAGCAGGGGGCAGCACAGAUAAAGGUCAGUUAUUUUUAACAUCUAACCUUUAAAAUUAGUUUUUAUACACAGAGUUAAAAAAUUUAAGCUGCAUAUUUUUGACUUUUAAGACUGAAAAUAUAUUUUGUUUCUCGCCGUCUUUCCUAAAUCUUCUAUUAAUUAUUUAUAGAUUGAUUAUAAUUUGACAUUUGUAGCCGAAGCUUUAAAUAUUUUACAGGAAGUAGUUUUUUUUUAAUUACAGGAAUACUUUAGUACUUUCUGACAGCUGAAUAUUUAUGACCAUCCUGGUUUGUGGGCUCGUGUUGAAGCGACGUGUGUGUGUGUGUGUGUGUGUGUGUGUGUGUGUGUGUGUGUGUGUGUGUGUGUGUGUGUGUGUGUGUGUGU